rnacentral:rRNA from 1 species
UACGAAGGGGGGCUAGCGUUGCUCGGAAUCACUGGGCGUAAAGCGCACGUAGGCGGACUCUUAAGUCAGGGGUGAAAUCCUGGAGCUCAACUCCAGAACUGCCUUUGAUACUGGGAGUCUUGAGUCCGGAAGAGGUAAGUGGAACUGCGAGUGUAGAGGUGAAAUUCGUAGAUAUUCGCAAGAACACCAGUGGCGAAGGCGGCUUACUGGUCCGGUACUGACGCUGAGGUGCGAAAGCGUGGGGAGCGAACAGG